rnacentral:rRNA from 1 species
ACUGAAUAGAUACCCUGGUAGUCCAUGCUGUAAACGAUGAGAACUAGAUGUUAGGGGGCAUGACCUCUUAGUAUCGAAGCUAACGCGAUAAGUUCUCCGCCUGGGGAGUACGGCCGCAAGGUUAAAACUCAAAGAAAUUGACGGGGGCCCGCACAAGCGGUGGAGCAUGUGGUUUAAUUCGAUGCAACGCGAAGAACCUUACCUACCUUUGAAUCCACGGAACCUAGCAGAGAUGUUGGGGUGCCUUCGGGAACCGUGAGACAGGUGCUGCAUGGCUGUCGUCAGCUCGUGUCGUGAGAUGUUGGGUUAAGUCCCGUAACGAGCGCAACCCUUGUCCUUAGUUGCCAUCAGGUUAUGCUGGGCACUUUAAGGAGACUGCCGGUGAUAAACCGGAGGAAGGUGGGGAUGACGUCAAGUCCUCAUGGCCCUUACAGGUAGGGCUACACACGUGCUACAAUGGGCAGUACAGAGGGAAGCCAACCCGCGAGGGGAGCGAAUCUCAUAAAGCUGUUCGUAGUCCGGAUUGGAGUCUGCAACUC